AAUAAGAAAUCAAUUGUUUAGCGAUGACGAUAGUAAUAUAAACGUUAAAAAUAAUAAUUAUUCUAAACGGGUAAUGAAUGUAAUAAAUAAUAGUGAUGGUUAUAUACAUUCAAAAGAUAUAAACACAAGAGAGAUACAAAAUACAAAUGAUAGUUUAUUUUUUAAUCAAAAAAAAAGGAAAAUAGAAGAUACAGUUUUAGAGAAUAAUACAAUAGUUAGAUCUUUCGUAAAUAAUAGUAUACAUUAUCUAAAAGAAGAUAGCGGAAAAAAUAAAAUAAAAAAUUUUGAAAAGGAUUUAUAUAUUAAUGAAAGUAAUAACAGUACUAUUAGUGAAGGUAACAUUCAUAGUAAUAUAUUAGAAGAAAUCGGAUCUUACGAUUCAGAAAGAUAUAAUGAGAUUAUGAAAAAAGAAGUAAGUUUACUUAAAAAAGGAAUUGACUUAAAUAUAAUUUAUUCAGAUGAUAAUAAUGGUAUGUUACGAGUUAAUAAAAUAAAAAAAGAAAUGGACAUACGUAUAAAAAAAAAAGUAAAUAAUAAUAAUAAUAAUAAUAAUAAUAAUAAUAAUAAUAAUAAUNNNNNNNNNNAUAAUAAUAAUAAUAAUAAUAAUAAUAAUAAUAAUAAUAAUAAUAAUUAUAAUAAUAAAUUAAAAGUUAUAACUAAUUUUAUUAAUCCAAGAAAACACGAAACAAAAGAUCAAUUGGGACAAAUUAAAACAAUAAAAGAUGUUAAUAACAAUAACAACUACAACAGUAGUAGUAGUAAUAAUAAAGAAUUAUAUUUAAAUAUAAAUUUAAAAAAAAAUUUGAAAUUAAUUAAAGACAUGUUUAUUAAUUUAUCACAAAAGAGAAAGUUAAAAUAUGGUAACGACAGUAAUAACUACACAUUGAAAAAUAGUUUAAUGUUUAUAAAUGAAAAAAAAAAUAACCCUUGUCGAUUUGAUUGGUUCCAAAAUGAUUAUAUAUAUUUUUUAAAAAGUAAGGAAAAUAACGGAUAUUAUAUAUCCAACAUCAGUGGAAUGUAUGAACUGUUCAUUUUGGUAACAAAAGAAUUAAAGAUUUUCGAUUCAUACGACUUUGCUUGGUUUUUAAAAAAAUAUAAAUUAAUAACUAUGUCACUAGUUCGUAAAUAUAGAAAAGAGUUAAAGAAAAAAUAUGAAUUUAUAAAAGAAAAUGUAAAGGAUAAAAAUGAAGAAGGUGUAUAUAAGAGUGUUUCUUUGCAUAAUAAAAUUUCUGUGCAUAAUAAAAUAGAUAAUUGUCUUGUUAAUAAUUGUCCUGUUAAUAAUUGUCCUGUUAAUAAUUGUCCUGNNNNNNNNNNUGUUAAUAAUUGUCCUGUUAAUAAUUGUCCUGUUAAUAAUUGUCCUGUUAAUAAUGGUUUUUAUGAAGUUAUUGGUAACACUAUAAAUAAUAAGAACAUAUUAUCCACAUGUAAUAACAUAAAGAAAGAAGAAUCUGAGAAAAUAAAAGAACCAAUGUAUGAUACGAUAAUUAUAAAAAGUAUUGAUGAAGUAAAUCCUCCUUCACCAAUUGAAUUUACUUUUAAAUUAUUAAAAAGAUAUAUAGAAGAGAAAAAGAAAAAAAAAAGUGUGUUACAAUUAAUAAAAGAAAAUAUGAUUCAAUAUACAGUAGCGUUAAAUUUACGAAUUGAAAAAAUUAUAAAAAAAAGAGAUGAAGAAUAUAUACUAAUUUUAAGUGAUAAUUUUGAUUAUAUAUAUUGUUUCAUAAAAGAUACUUAUUUAAUUAAUUUAAUACUUUCAAAUGUAAUUAAAGAAAGUUAUAUAUUAAAAAUUAACUCAUUGGAUUUAUAUGAAAAAAAAACAAAUGAUGAAAAUGAACUUAUAAAUACAGACAUAAAUACAGACAUAAAUACAGAUGUAAAUGCAAAUGUAAAUGCAAAUGUAAAUGCAGAUGUAAAUGCAGAUGUAAAUGCAGAUGUAAAUGCAGACGUAAAUACAUAUGAAAAUACAUAUGAAAAUAAUGUAAUGAAGUUUUAUUUAUCUAGUAAUAAUUUAAUUGAUAUAAAUAAAAAAAAUGAAUUAAAAAUUGGUAUAUCCAAAUAUAAAUCAAAAAGAAUAAAAAAUAUAGAAGAUUUUGGUAAUAACUGUUUUUUUAUUGAUGUUAUAAUUAUAAGUAAAAGUGAUUUGUCAUAUGGAUAUUAUGACACAACAUUAAAUAAAUAUUUUAUUUUAAAUAAUAAUAUAUAUGAAAAAAUUGUAUAUAAUUUACAAAACGAACUAGCCAAAAUAGCACAUGAAGAUGAUUUUAACGAAAAUAGUAAAUAUACAAAAUUAAAAAAUGAACUGUUAAUGCUUCGUGAUGCAACACCUUUAUUUACAAUACAGGCGAUUGAUAUUGCUUAUUUUGAACAAAUAAAAAAAGCAACUUCUUUCGAUGAUGAAAUAGAGUAUAUAAUGAAUUCGUUGUGUCAGGUGAAGAUAUUUAAGAUUGACCAGGAGACAUACGAAAACACAAAAACAGGUAGCCGAAUACAACUGUUCAACGUUCAUGUUAAAGAAUCUAAUAAAUCUAAUAAAUUCGUUUCAUUGAUAAAUGAGCAUGACUAUAAUAAUUUUUUGUAUAAUAAUUUGCAAGGAGGUAAAAAAAAAGAUUAUAUCAUGAAAAAUUCAUUAAAUUAUAAUACAUUUAUUUCAAUGUUUUUAAAAGAGGAAAAUGAAAAGAGUAACAACAAAAACGAUAGUAAUAACAUGAAUAAUAAUACUCAUUAUUUUUAUGAUUAUGAUAAAUUUUUUAAAUUUUUUAACCGACGUGCGUUGAAUUAUACACCGGUUGUUUUUGACGCAACUUGUUCAACAUACAUAAAUAUUGAUAUUAAAUAUAAAAAUAAAUUGUUCCAAGAGUUAGAGAAUAUUUUAACUAUAAUACAAAAUGAACAAAAAAAUGGAGAACAAAAUGAACUAAAUGAAAAUAGCAACGUAUUAGUGAAUGAGAAUGUAUCAGAGGGUAAAGUCAAGUUAGAGGGUAAAGACACGUUAGAGGGUAAUGACACGUUAGAAGGUAAUGACAUGUCAGAAAUUAAAGAACUAUCAGAAAGUAUAGCCAUUCCAAAAAAUAAAAACCAUAAUAAAAUAUACCCUUCUUUUAUUUAUACGAAUAUAUUUAAGAUACCCGUUUUAUCAACAAUCCAUAUGAAUAUUCUUAAAAAAUAUGUACAAUUAAAUAAAAACACAAAAAAUAUAUUUUAUGAUUUAACACAAGGGAGUUUUUAUAACAUCUCUGGAAUGGUUAUUCAUUACACAGAAUUCGAAAUAAAAGGAAUAUCGGAUAACAAUUCUAGUGAAAGUAAUAAAAGCAAAUUAAGUUAUAAAAUUUUUUUUUUAACUUCUAAUUUGCAUUUGUGUUGUAUAAACGUUUCUAUGACAACUUCUGAUUUUUGGCUUUCAAAUUAUAAAAAAAAUUUUGAGUGUAAGGAAAAGGAAAUACUUAGGAGAAUGAUUUAUGUACGAAAGAACAAAGACACAAAUAAAGAUCAAAAUUAUGAAAUUAAAAAAAAUUGUAAAUAUAAAAAUAACAAUAUGAACAGGACUAAUCAUUAUAAUAAAAAUAAUACCGUAUUUAAUUAUUUAUACAAAAGUGAGACAACAAAUAAUAAUGAGCGAGACAUUGAUGAGGAAGAAGAGCUACUAAAAAAUAUAGAUAUAUUUAUAUUUUUUAAAAACGCACUGUUUAUAAAUUAUGAUAAAAAGCAUGACAUAUUUAACUUCCAAUCGUACUACCACCCGGAAUUUCGUACUUUAAAACAGUAUUCAAAUGAAUUUUGUUACAUUAAAAACGACAUGGCACAAUUAAUGAGAGAUGAAUAUCUUAUGUUAAAAAGUAAUAAACUUGUAGUGAAAUUAAAAGAAAAGGAAAAAUCAAAAAUUGAAAAAAAAAAUUUAUCUUGCAUGUAUUUUUUAUACAUAAUAAUUUACGCAAAGAAUAAAUCUAUAGAAUUAACUGGAUCAUCCAUAGAAAACAAUUAUUUAUUUACAUUUUUAAGAAAUACGUACAAAUAUAUGUUUUAAAUAAAUACUUAUAAAAAAAAAGUUGUACUUUUUUUUUUUUUUUUUCUUUAAUUAAAUUUUAACAUAUUUUUACAUAACAAUGUCUGUAAUUUUCCAAAUAUAUUUUUUACCUUUGUAUUGAGCAAAUUUGUUUAGUUAAAAAAAAUAUAUAUAUAUUAUAUAUAUAUAUAUGAGGGAAAAAUAGUAGCUAGCUACAUUUCAAAGUUUUGCACUUUUUUAAUGUAGCUAUAUAUUUUUUUUUAUUCCACUAAUAUAUUUAUAGUAAACUAAAAUAUAGGAUUUGAUUAUAUUACCUAUAAUUGUAAAAUUGUUAUUUUAUUUUCUUUAAUUAUAUAAAUUAAAAAAAAAUUGUAUUAAAAUGUAUUUAAAUGUUUUUUUUACCAAACUAUACACACAUAUAUAUAUAUAUAUAUAUAUAUAUAUAUAUUUUUAUUAAAUGAAUUAAGUCACAAGAGAUGAUAUUCAUAAAUUGUAAAAAAAAAAUAACUAAUUAAAUAAAACUGUAAAAAUAAGAAAGUGUUAAAUAUAU
rnacentral:lncRNA from 1 species